CCUACGGGAGGCAGCAGUGAGGAAUAUUGGUCAAUGGGCUUACGCCUGAACCAGCCAAGUCGCGUGAGGGAAGACUGCCCUAUGGGUUGUAAACCUCUUUUGUCAGGGAGCAAUUGGCGCUACGUGUAGCGUUAUCGAGAGUACCUGAAGAAAAAGCAUCGGCUAACUCCGUGCCAGCAGCCGCGGUAAUACGGAGGAUGCGAGCGUUAUCCGGAUUUAUUGGGUUUAAAGGGUGCGUAGGCGGAAUGCCAAGUCAGCGGUAAAAUCGCGGGGCUCAACCUCGCUCCGCCGUUGAAACUGGCGUUCUUGAGUGGGCGAGAAGUAUGCGGAAUGCGUGGUGUAGCGGUGAAAUGCAUAGAUAUCACGCAGAACUCCGAUUGCGAAGGCAUCUCACGAAUCCGCGAUUGACGCUGAUGCACGAAAGCGUGGGUAUCAAACAGGAUUAGAUACCCCAGUAGUC
rnacentral:rRNA from 1 species